rnacentral:tRNA from 1 species
AUGGUAUUUAGUUUAAAACAAAA